rnacentral:ncRNA from 1 species
UUGACGGAGAGUUUGAUCCUGGCUCAGGAUGAACGCUGGCGGCGUGCUUAACACAUGCAAGUCGGACGAUGAUGCCCUUCGGGGUGGAUUAGUGGCGAACGGGUGAGUAACACGUGAGCAACCUGCCCUUGACUCUGGGAUAAGCCUGGGAAGCUGGGUCUAAUACCGGAUAUUCGCCUCCUGCCGCAUGGUGGGGGGUGGAAAGCCUUGUGCGGUCUUGGAUGGGCU